rnacentral:rRNA from 1 species
CCUACGGGUGGCAGCAGUAGGGAAUCUUCCACAAUGGGCGAAAGCCUGAUGCAGCAACGCCGCGUGGGUGAAGAAGGUCUUCGGAUCGUAAAACCCUGUUGUUAGAGAAGAAAGUGCGGGAGAGUAACUGUUCACGUUUCGACGGUAUCUAACCAGAAAGCGACGGCUAACUACGUGCCAGCAGCCUCGGUAAUACGUAGGUGGCAAGCGUUAUCCGGAUUUAUUGGGCGUAACGGGAACGCAGGCGGUAGUUUAAGUCUGAUGUGAAAGCCUUCGGCUUAACCGGAGUAGUGCAUUGGAAACUGGGAGACUUGAGUGCAGAAGAGGAGAGUGGAACUCCAUGUGUAGCGGUGAAAUGCGUAGAUAUAUGGAAGAACACCAGUGGCGAAAGCGGCUCUCUGGUCUGUAACUGACGCUGAGGUUCGAAAGCGUGGGUAGCAAACAGGAUUAGAUACCCGAGUAGUC